UGAGAGUCCAAAAACCUUGACGGUUCGAGCUGAAAUCGCGGCUUUGGUUCAGACUUCAGAGCUUGAGGGACAAAUCAAGGUGCUUCAUUUCUUCUUGAUUAGUAGUAGUCUUCAAACAAGUUCCACCACUAGCCACACAUCCACCGAUUUCUUUAUUACUGGCUGCAGAAUUCAACAUGGUAUUACUACUAUUAACUAUUAUUUCAAACCUACCAACACUGCUUUGUGAUGCUGAUAAUGCUGAUUUUGUUCUGUGAUGAAAAUCUGGCACAGCAAGCUUUGCUAUUCCGGGUUGUUGAUCAAUGAUUGGCCUUGACCAACCAUGAUGGUGUGCAUAAGAGCCUCCAAAACCAUUCACAUGAUGAUGAUGAGAAGAAGAAGAAGGCUUCUGGAUCAAGGAGUGUGCCUGAAUUCC
rnacentral:lncRNA from 1 species